rnacentral:rRNA from 1 species
GUGGGGUAACGGCCUACCAAGGCUAUGGCGGGUAGCUGACGUGAGAGCGUGAGCAGCCACACUGGGACUGAGACACGGCCCAGACUCCUACGGGAGGCAGCAGUGGGGAAUAUUGCGCAAUGGGCGAAAGCCUGACGCAGCGACGCCGCGUGGGGGAGGAAGGCCUUAGGGUUGUAAACCCCUGUCAGGUGGGACGAACCCCGGGUCGGUUAAUAAUCGGCUCGACUGACGGUACCACCAGAGGAAGCUCCGGCUAACUCCGUGCCAGCAGCCGCGGUAAUACGGAGGGAGCGAGCGUUGUUCGGAAUCACUGGGCGUAAAGGGCGCGUAGGCGGCCGAGUAAGUCGUGUGUGAAAGACCGGGGCUCAACUCCGUGUACUGCAUGCGAUACUGCUCGGCUGGAGAAAGGUAGAGGCGAGUGGAAUUCCCGGUGUAGCGGUGGAAUGCGUAGAUAUCGGGAAGAACACCUGUGGCGAAGGCGGCUCGCUGGGCCUUUUCUGACGCUGAAGCGCGAAAGCGUGGGGAGCAAACAGGAUUAGACACCCUGGUAGUCCACGCCGUAAACGAUGGGCACUAGGCGUUGGGAGGAUUGACCCUCUCAGUGCCGUAGCUAACGCGUUAAGUG